rnacentral:rRNA from 1 species
GGGGCGUCAAAGCUUACCAAAGAAUAUCAAACUCCGAAUGCCAUGUAGAUGAUGAACGGGAGUCAGACUGCACGAGAUAAGUUGGGCGGUCAAAAGGGAAAGAGCCCAGACCUACAGUUAAGGUCCCAAAGUGCGCGUUAAGUGGAAAAGGAUGUGGGAUUUCGAAGACAACCAGGAUGUUGGCUCAGAAGCAGCCAUACAUUCAAAGAGUGCGUAAUAGCUCACUGGUCGAGAGGUCCUGCGCCGAAAAUGUCCGGGGCUGAAACGCGCCACCGAAACUAAGGAAUCCGUAAGGAUUGGUAGAGGAGCAUUGCAUAUGGGAAGAAGCAGUACCGUAAGGAGCUGUGGACUAUAUGGAAGAGAGAAUGCCGGAAUGAGUAGCGAGAUAGAGGUGGGAAUCCUCUAGGCCGAAUAUCCAAGGUUUCCAGGGUAAAGCUGAUCUGCCCUGGGUGAGUCGGGACCUAAGGUGAGGGCGAGAGCCGUAGCCGAUGGACAACAGGUUGAUAUUCCUGUACUGCAGUAUAACAGAACUGUGGGGACACGUAAGGAGAGCGGGAGCCGGGAAUGGAAAGCCCGGUACAAGCGAGGUACCAGUAUGGUAGGAAAAACCGCCAUGCAAUGGGAAGACGUGAUGUGGAGUGAAAUAUAGUAACGAAGCCCGUGAGCCAUGCGUCAAGAAAAGCCGCUAUUGUUUAUAUUGUACCCGUACCGUAAACCGACACAGGUGGAUGAGGAGAGAAUCCUAAGGCCGGCGGAAGAAGCAUUGUUAAGGAAUUCGGCAAAAUGACCCCGUAACUUCGGGAGAAGGGGUGCCUGCGAGAGCAGGCCGCAGAGAAUAGGCUCAAGCAACUGUUUAGCAAAAACACAGGUCUAUGCGAAACCGAAAGGUGAAGUAUAUGGGCUGACGCCUGCCCGGUGCUGGAAGGUUAAGAGGAGAGGUUAGCGUAAGCGAAGCUUUGAAUUUAAGCCCCAGUAAACGGCGGCCGUAACUAUAACGGUCCUAAGGUAGCGAAAUUCCUUGUCGGGUAAGUUCCGACCCGCACGAAAGGCGUAAUGAUUUGAGCGCUGUCUCGGCAAUACAUCCGGUGAAAUUGAAGUGCCAGUGAAGAUGCUGGCUACCCGCGCCAGGACGGAAAGACCCCAUGGAGCUUUACUCCAGUUUGGCACUGGGGUCCGGUGUUGCAUGUACAGGAUAGGUGGGAGGCUGAGAGAUAGUGACGUCAGUUGCUAUGGAGCCGCUGUUGGGAUACCACCCUUGUGAUAUUGGGCUUCUAACCAGCCGCCGUGAACCGGCGGUGGGACAAUGCCAGGCGGGGAGUUUGACUGGGGCGGUCGCCUCCGAAAGGGUAUCGGAGGCGCCCAAAGGUUCCCUCAGAAUGGACGGAAACCAUUCGAAGAGUGCAAAGGCAGAAGGGAGCUUGACUGCGACACCGACGGGUGGAGCAGGU